rnacentral:rRNA from 1 species
CCUACGGGAGGCAGCAGUGGGGAAUAUUGGGCAAUGGAGGAAACUCUGACCCAGCGACGCCGCGUGCGGGAUGAAGGCCUUCGGGUUGUAAACCGCUUUCAGUAGGGAAGAAGCGAAAGUGACGGUACCUACAGAAGAAGCACCGGCUAACUAUGUGCCAGCAGCCGCGGUAAUACAUAGGGUGCAAGCGUUGUCCGGAAUUAUUGGGCGUAAAGAGCUCGUAGGUGGUUCGUCACGUCGGAUGUGAAAAUCUGGGGCUCAACCCCAGACCUGCAUUCGAUACGGGCGAUCUAGAGUGUGGUAGGGGAGACUGGAAUUCCUGGUGUAGCGGUGGAAUGCGCAGAUAUCAGGAGGAACACCAAUGGCGAAGGCAGGUCUCUGGGCCAUUACUGACACUGAGGAGCGAAAGCGUGGGGAGCGAACAGGAUUAGAUACCCUGGUAGUCCACGACGUAACGGUAGGACGACUAGUUGUGGUACGUACCGUACGUUACGUGCGACGCGAGCUACGACAUAAGUACGCCCGCCGUCGGGUAGGUACGAGUCGCGAACGAAUUAAAACUUAACAAACGUAAGUAAGUUAGACGGUCGUAGAGACGUCGACCGACGGACCGACCGACGGAGGGAGGAGG